rnacentral:rRNA from 1 species
AUUGAACGCUGGCGGCAUGCCUUACACAUGCAAGUCGAACGGUAACAGGUCUUCGGAUGCUGACGAGUGGCGAACGGGUGAGUAAUACAUCGGAACGUGCCCGAGAGUGGGGGAUAACGAGGCGAAAGCUUUGCUAAUACCGCAUACGAUCUCAGGAUGAAAGCAGGGGACCGCAAGGCCUUGCGCUCAUGGAGCGGCCGAUGGCAGAUUAGGUAGUUGGUGGGAUAAAAGCUUACCAAGCCGACGAUCUGUAGCUGGUCUGAGAGGACGACCAGCCACACUGGGACUGAGACACGGCCCAGACUCCUACGGGAGGCAGCAGUGGGGAAUUUUGGACAAUGGGCGCAAGCCUGAUCCAGCCAUGCCGCGUGCAGGAUGAAGGCCUUCGGGUUGUAAACUGCUUUUGUACGGAACGAAAAGACUCCUUCUAAUAAAGGGGGUCCAUGACGGUACCGUAAGAAUAAGCACCGGCUAACUACGUGCCAGCAGCCGCAGUAACAC